rnacentral:rRNA from 1 species
UACGUAGGGAGCGAGCGUUAUCCGGAUUUACUGGGUGUAAAGGGAGCGUAGACGGUUUAGUAAGUCUGGAGUGAAAGGCGGGGGCCCAACCCCCGGACUGCUUUGGAAACUGUUUGACUGGAGUACAGGAGAGGUAAGUGGAAUUCCUAGUGUAGCGGUGAAAUGCGUAGAUAUUAGGAGGAACACCAGUGGCGAAGGCGGCUUACUGGACUGUAACUGACGUUGAGGCUCGAAAGCGUGGGGAGCAAACAGG